CCGAGUGAGGGUGCCAACGCGCCCGACCUCCCACCCUUUGUUCUACGUACGAAUUUGCCUCGGGGGCGACCCGGCUGCGGCCGGUGACCCCCCGGCGGACCUUUUCAAACACUGCAUCUUUGCGUCGGAGUAUUGAAGCAAAUCAAUCA
rnacentral:misc_RNA from 1 species